UACGGGGGGAGCAAGCGUUGUUCGGAUUUACUGGGCGUAAAGGGCGCGUAGGCGGCCACCGCAGGUCGACUGUGAAAUCUCCGGGCUUAACCCGGAAAGGUCAGCCGAUACUGCGGGGCUAGAGUGCAGAAGGGGCAACUGGAAUUCUCGGUGUAGCGGUGAAAUGCGUAGAUAUCGAGAGGAACACCUGCGGCGAAGGCGGGUUGCUGGGCUGACACUGACGCUGAUGUGCGAAAGCAUGGGGAGCGAACAGG
rnacentral:rRNA from 1 species